AUGAUGCGCGUUGGGAAUGGUUCCAGAGUCGAUGUGAUCGCCGUCGGCACGCUGCCUCUACAUUUACCUACGGGAUUAGUUUUGAACCUUAAUAAUUGUUAUUUAGUGCCAAGUUUGAGCAUGAACAUUGUAUCUGGAUCUCGUUUAAUACGAGAUGGCUACUCAUUUAAGUCCGAGAAUAAUGGUUGUUCAAUUUAUAUGAGAGAUAUGUUUUAUGGUCAUGCUCCGAUGGUCAAUGGUUUAUUCUUAAUGAAUCUCGAGCGUAAUAUUACACAUGUUCAUAGUGUAGAUGCCAAAAGAUGUAAAGUUGAUAACGAUAGUCCCACAUACUUGUGGCACUGCCGCCUUGGUCACAUUGGUGUCAAGCGCAUGAAGAAGCUCCAUGCUGAUGGACUUUUGGAGUCUCUUGAUUAUGAAUCGUUUGACACAUGCGAACCAUGCCUCAUGGGCAAAAUGACCAAGACUCCGUUCUCCGGAACAAUGGAGCGAGCAACCAACUUGUUGGAAAUCAUACAUACCGAUGUGUGCGGUCCAAUGAGCGUUGAGGCUCGCGGAGGAUAUCGUUAUGUUCUCACUCCCACUGAUGACUUAAGUAGAUAUGGGUAUGUCUACUUAAUGAAACACAAGUCUGAGACCUUUGAAAAGUUCAAGGAAUUUCAGAAUGAGGUGGAGAAUCAACAUGACCGAAAGAUAAAGUUCCUACGAUCAGAUCAUGGAGGAGAAUAUUUAAGUCACGAAUUUGGCACACACUUAAGGAAAUGUGGAAUCGUUUCACAACUCACGCCGCCUGGAACACCUCAGCGAAACGGUGUGUCCGAACAUCGUAAUCGCACUCUAUUGGAUAUGGUGCGGUCUAUGAUGUCUCUUACCGAUUUACCGCUAUCAUUUUGGGGAUACACUCUAGAGACAGCUACAUUCACUUUAAAUAGGGCACCGUAUAAAUCCGUUGAGACGACACCGUAUGAAUUAUGGUUUGGAAAGAAACCUAAGCUGUCGUUUCUAAAAGUUUGGGGAUGCGAUGCUUAUGUCAAGAAACUUCAACCUGAAAAGCUCGAACCCAAGUCGGAAAAAUGCGUCUUCAUAGGAUACCCUAAGGAAACUGUAGGGUAUACCUUCUACUUAAGAUCCGAAGGCAAGAUCUUUGUUGCCAAAAACGGAUGCUUUCUGGAAAAAGAGUUUCUCUCGAAAGAAGUAAGUGGGAGGAAAGUAGAACUCGAUGAAGUACUACCUCUCGAACGGGAGAGUGGUGCAGCUCAGGAAAAUGUUCCUGUGAUGCCCACACCAACUGAAGAGGAAACCAAUGAUAAUGAUCAAGGUACUUCGGAUCAAGUUGCUACUGAACUUCGUAGGUCCACAAGGACAUGUUCCGCACCAGAGUGGUACGGCAACCCUGUCCUGGAAAUCAUGUUGUUAGACAACGGUGAACCUUCGAACUAUGAAGAAGCGAUGUCGGGCCCAGAUUCCAACAAAUGGCUAGAAGCCAUGAAAUCCGAGAUAGAAUCCAUGUAUGAAAACAAAGUAUGGACUUUGACUGACUUGCCCAAUGAUCGGCGAGCGAUAGAAAACAAAUGGAUCUUUAAGAAGAAGACGGACGUGGAUGGUAAUAUCACCAUCUAUAAAGCUCGACUUGUCGCUAAGGGUUAUCGACAAGUUCAAGGGAUUGACUACGACGAGACAUUCUCUCCCGUAGCGAAGCUUAAGUCCGUCCGAAUCAUGUUAGCAAUUGCCGCAUACUAUGAUUAUGAGAUAUGGCAGAUGGACGUCAAAACGGCAUUCCUUAACGGGCAUCUUAAGGAAGAGCUGUAUAUGAUGCAGCCGGAAGGUUUUGUCGAUCCUAAGAACGCUAGCAAAGUAUGCAAGCUCCAGCGAUCCAUUUAUGGGCUGGUGCAAGCAUCUCGGAGUUGGAAUAUUCGCUUUGAUGAGAUGAUCAAAGCGUUUGGGUUUAUGCAGACUUAUGGAGAAGCCUGCGUUUACAAGAAAGUGAGUGGGAGCUCUGUAGCAUUUCUCAUAUUAUAUGUGGAUGACAUACUCUUGAUGGGAAAUAAUAUAGAAUUUCUGGACAACAUUAAGGCCUACUUGAACAAAUGUUUUUCAAUGAAGGACCUUGGAGAAGCUGCUUAUAUAUUAGGCAUCAAGAUCUAUAGAGAUAGAUCGAGACGCCUCAUAGGUCUUUCACAAAGCACAUACCUUGAUAAGAUUUUGAAAAAGUUCAAAAUGGAUGAGUCCAAGAAAGGGUUCUUGCCUAUGUUACAAGGUGUGAGAUUGAGCUCAGCUCAGUCACCGACCAUGGCAAAAGAUAAAGAAGAGAUGAGUGUCAUCCCCUAUGCUUCAGCCAUAGGAUCUAUUAUGUAUGCCAUGCUGUGUACCAGACCUGAUGUAAACCUUGCCAUAAGUUUGGUAGCAAGAUACCAGAGUAAUCCCGGCAAGGAACACUGGACAGCGGUCAAGAAUAUCCUGAAGUACCUGAAAAGGACAAAGGACAUGUUUCUCAUUUAUGGAGGUGACGAAGAGCUCGUCGUAAAGGGUUACGUCGACGCUAGCUUCGACACAGAUCUGGAUGACUCUAAGUCACAAACCGGAUACGUGUAUAUGUUGAAUGGUGGAGCAGUAAGCUGGUGCAGCUGCAAGAAGAGCGUCGUGGCGGGAUCUACAUGUGAAGCAGAGUACAUGGCAGCCUCGGAGGCAGCGCAUGAAGCUAUUUGGGUGAAGGAGUUCAUCACCGACCUAGGAGUCAUACCCAAUGCGUCGGGGCCAAUCAAACUCUUCUGUGACAACACUGGAGCUAUUGCCCUUGCUAAGGAGCCCAGGUUUCACAAGAAGACCAGGCACAUCAAGCGUCGUUUCAACUCCAUCCAUGAAAAUGUUCAAGAUGGAGACAUCGAAAUUUGCAAAGUACAUACGGAUCUGAAUGUCGCUGAUCCGUUGACUAAACCUCUCUCGCGAGCAAAACAUGAUCAACACCAGAACUCUAUGGGUGUUCGAUUCAUCACAAUGUAA
rnacentral:rRNA from 1 species